rnacentral:lncRNA from 1 species
UGGUAUUUCAUUCCUACACAGGAAUGACUGCCCAGAGCAAUGGAUGUGAAUCUCAGUCAGUGUGGAUUUUUUAUUUAUUUAUUUUACUUUUACUUCAUUUUCAGACUGCUGCCACCCAGAGAAGAGUGAAUGUGGGCAGACUUUCACCUGCCAUCACAGGACCUUAUUUCUUUUCUUAAACCCUAUCAAGAAUGCUCUUGAGAAGAGAAUUGUUGAGGAACUGGUUGCAUAGUCCUUGAGAAUACUGAUCACUGUUAAUUAGGUUAAACUCUUUGUGAUAGAUCAUAUCAGGUACCCUCUUAAAAAAAAGAUUUUUUUUUCCUUUCUUUUUUUUUUUUUCCUUUUUCCUCCCAGGAUAUUGGCUGCUCAGAAUGGUACCUGUUGCCAGUGCUGCUGAGCUUCAGAAUCAUAGAACGUAUCCACUGGCUUUUCAUCCUCUAUGUUUUUUUUUUUUUUUUUUUCGUUUUGGUUUUAUGAGUUUGACUGAUCCUGUUCUACAACUCCAGUUAAAUAAAGUACUUGGGAAGAGAACUGACAAUGGUCUCAUGAAAUAUGAUUUGCUAUGAUGGAAGAUGGAAAGGUAAACAUCCAUGAAGAGGUACAGUGUUAGCCUGAAACUGCCCUGAAGGCGUGAGUUUGGAGAUCAAGGUAUAGUUCAUCAUAAAGAGCAACCUAGUGCAAAUUUCUGGUCUAGUAAGACUCAACUACAUUUUUGUGUGUUCAAAUUUGGAAUUUUG